GGGCGUGUAGUUCAGUGGUAGAACGCAGUCCUGAUAAGACUGAGGUCGGAGGUUCGAUCCCUCCCACGCCCA
rfam:Parcubacteria (Giovannonibacteria) bacterium GW2011_GWF2_42_19 TV11_C0001, whole genome shotgun sequence.